rnacentral:rRNA from 1 species
AGCACGUUAUGGUGGGCGACUCUAAGGAAGGACUGCCGGUGGACAAACCGGAAGGAAGGUGGGGAGUGACGUCAAGUCAUCAUGGCCCUUACGGCCUGGGCUACACACGUGCUACAAUGGUCGGUACAAAGGGUUGCCAAGCCGCGAGGUGGAGCUAAUCCCAUAAAAACCGAUCGUAGUCCGGAUCGCAGUCUGCAACUCGACUGCGUGAAGUCGGAAUCGCUAGUAAUCGUGAAUCAGAAUGUCACGGUGAAUACGUUCCCGGGCCUU